GAUAAACGCUGGCGGCGCACAUAAGACAUGCAAGUCGAACGGAAGUCGUUAUUAAAUGGAAUGAAGAUUUAUCGGAGUGAAGUUUAGUAACAAUGGCUUUAGUGGCGGACUGGUGAGUAACACGUAAGCAAUCUACCUAUUAGAGGGGAAUAACAAUGAGAAAUCAUUGCUAAUACCGCAUAAGCUUGUAGUAUCGCAUGAUACAGCAAGAAAAGGAGCAAUCCGCUAAUAGAUGAGCUUGCGGCUGAUUAGCUAGUUGGUGUGGUAACGGCAUACCAAGGCAACGAUCAGUAGCCGGGCUGAGAGGCUCAUCGGCCACAUUGGGACUGAGAUACGGCCCAG
rnacentral:rRNA from 1 species